CAGUCGCCACGGUAAUACAGAGGAUGCAGGCGUUAUCCGGAAUGAUUGGGCGUAAAGCGUCUGUAGGUGGCUUUUCAAGUCCGCUGUCAAAUCCCAGGGCUCAACCCUGGACAGGCGGUGGAAACUACCAAGCUAGAGUACGGUAGGGGCAGAGGGAAUUUCCAGUGGAGCGGUGAAAUGCGUUGAGAUCGGAAAGAACACCAACGGCGAAAGCACUCUGCUGGGCCGACACUGACACUGAGAGACGAAAGCUAGGGGAGCAAAUGGGAUUAGAUACCCCGGUAGUCCCUGUCUCUUAUAA
rnacentral:rRNA from 1 species